GACGAACGCUGGCGGUGUGGAUUAGGCAUGCAAGUCGAACGGUAUCAUCCUUUCGGGGGUGAGAGAGUGGCGAACUGGUGAGUAACACGUAGGUUAUCUACCCUCAAGACGGGGACAACCCAGGGAAACUUGGGCUAAUACCGGAUGUGAGCAACUUUUAGUUGUUUGAAAGGUGGCGUAAGCUGUCGCUUGGGGAUGAGCCUGCGUCCUAUUAGUUAGUUGGUGAGGUAACGGCUCACCUAGGCAAUGAUAGGUAGGCGGCCUUAACGGGUGGUCGCCCACACUGGGAUUGAGAUACGGCCCAGACUCCUACGGGAGGCAGCAGUCGAGAAUAGUCUACAAUGGUCGGAAGACUGAUAGUGCGACGCCGCGUGAACGAUGAAUCCCUUCGGGGUGUAAAAUUCUUUUAUAUGUGAGCAGUGCUUCUUAUAUUAACAGUAUGGGGAGAGAGAUAUUAGCAUAUGAAUAAGCAACGGCUAACUCCGUGCCAGCAGCCGCGGUAAU
rnacentral:rRNA from 1 species